AUGGCAGUUGAUGACAGCAAUUUAUAUUCCAGAACAAAGAACAAACUAAACGCAUCUCCAAAUGAUUAUAAAUCAUCGAGACGGAGCAGCCUCCCACCCGAACUACUUAUAGGAAAUGACUUUAGAGGAAGACUUCAAAGGAACAUUAAGAAUUUGGAACCCUUUCACGUGAGGCGCCCCAAAAAACGACCAUCCAUAUUUCCAGAAACUGUGGCCCUCUGGAAGGAAUGGCAUCUUGGGAGCAGCAGAGUGCAGAAAUGAAAGCCCAUGUGGCAGAUCAGCAUCAUGGGUUGGAUGGAGGGUCCAUGGACUCAGAUGCAAAAAUAUUGCAGUUCACUUCUCACCAGCCUCUACCUGAAAAGAUUUAGUAUUUUCUUCAAUUAUAAAUAUAGGUAACAAACUACAAUAUUAGUAGUACCUGUAACUUUAUGACCAGCUAAAGUUACCAAUAUAUUUAUAACAUGACAGUUGCUUUAGGUAUAUGGCAAUAUUAUAUAUACUUUUUAAGUAUUAUUUUAUUUAAAAUUUCUUAUAAUUUUAUCUGCCUCUACAUUGUGUUAUUUAAUGUGUUACUAAAGAAGUAGCUGUAUAUCAUACCACAAUCUUGUUUUUUUAAAUGAUUACUGUAUUUCAAAAUAAUUCAUUAUCUUUAUAAUCCUACAUACUUUAUUUUAUUCACGUAAACAUCUCAUCCUGAGAAGGAGCCCCUGAGCUUCAUUAGACUGCCAGAAAGGUUCAGACCUAGAGAGCUGCUGUGUCCAGUAAGUCUCUAGCCACUGACAGCAAUUCUGUCUUAAGAACCUGGCUAAUACCAAUUUAGAGGUGCUGUAAACUACACAUCCCAUGUUAAGUAUUUAGUGCAAAAAUAUUAAAUGCUCCACUAAUAACUGUGAUAUUUAUUACGUAUUUAAAAGAUAAUGUUAUUGGUAUAUUCGAUUAAAUGAAAUAUGUUUGUGUCAUGCAGCUUUCUGUCACUGUGACAAAACACCUAAGAAAAACAACUUGAAGAAAGGUUUCUUUUGGCUCACAGUUUCAGAGGUUUCAGUCCAUGGUUGGCUGAUUCUAGUGCUGUUAUAUCUGUGGUAAGGCAGAAAUGUCAUGGCAGAAGAUCAUGGCAAAGCAAAGGUGCUUACCUCAUGACAGCCAGGAAGGAGAAGAGAGGGAAAGGGAUAGUGGGAGAGAGAGACAGAGAGAAAUACAGAGAAAGAACAAGAUUUAACUUUCAAAGUCACACUCCCAGUGACCUCUUUUCUCCAACUAGGCCCCAGCUCCUAAAGUUUCCACAGCCUCCCAGUAGACCAUUCGACUACGAAUCUAUCAAUGGGUUAAUCUUCUGCUGAGGUCAAGGCCCUCAUGAUCCAGUCACAUGCCAAAAGCCUGUCCCUUAACAUUGCUGCCAACCCAAAUACCAAACCUUUGACACAUGAGCUUUUGGGGGACAUUUGUGACUCAAACCAAAAUAAUAUUAUUGAAAUUAAUUUCACCUACUUAUUAUUAGUUAUUGGAAUAUAGGUACUCAACAGUUUAAGAUGGCAUGUAUGGCUUGCAUUGCAUUUCUCUUGAGUAUCCCUGGCCUAGCAUCAGAUCUGAGUCCCAGUCUUUGCUACAUCCCAUGGCCAGCAAUCGUCAUCAUUAUUUUCAUUGUCAUUGAUCUGUUGUGCCCUAGCUCGGGGACCUUCAUAAGUAUCAGUUUUUUCAUUUGUAAGAGUAGAUAGAAAGCCAGUGGAAAAAGGAUUACUGUGUUUAUGCCAGAUUCAGCCUUUUGGC
rnacentral:lncRNA from 1 species